CCCAUCUGAGCUGAAGUCCAGGCUGCUGGGGCUUGCCUCCUGGAGAUGCUUUGGAGGGCGCUGGGGCAAAGGAGCCUCGCUGAAGCUCUGGGCGGGCGCCCUUUGGGACAAAGCAGUGCCUCUCUUCCCCCGUUUGGCAGCAGAUGAGAGCCAGGUUGGCCUCCUUGGACCUGCUUCAGCUUCCCUCCCCUUUGCCUUUACAGCCGGAGAGCCAGGGCUGCCUGCACAUGCAAAAUGGAAAGGACACACGAAGUGGGAAAGGCCGGGUGGAUCUCUCCUACUUGUUCAGGAUGGGCUCCCAUUGGCUAUUUGGCGCUGUUUCCGCCGAUACUGGCCUCCCUCCCUCUCCCGUGCCUGGAAGCCACGCCCCCUCCUGUUGCUCUCCUCCAUUAGCAGCAGCCAGGCCAGCAACGCGCGCCCUGCGAGAGGUGAAAACCAGUACCCAUGUGGCUAAACAACAUUGGAAUGUCGUCAAGAUGGAAAACACUAUUACUCAGGAAGAAUGGACAAACUAGGAGAUAAUGCAACAGUUCGUUUUUGUCUAAGCCAACAGGGAACGACUAGUAGUAGAUGGUUUAUUGUUGAAUACCUUCAAGCAACUUGUGACUUAUGCAACCCUGAGGCAAAUGAAUUAUGAGGUUUCUUGGCAAGAUUCAUUGAAAGGAAGUUUAUUAGUCUGUUAUGUGGAGAACUAGCCUAUGUAUCCACUCAUUUUUCUGUUCUUUGUUCCUCGUAUAAUUUGACUAUCUCCCAAACCUUUUUUUAAACAAAUUUCAAUUUUUUUUACUUCAUUCUAGUCUCAUAUUUUUCUCUUUUAUGGUAUCACUAGCAUUUAGCUUGCUUAUUGCUGUAUCAGACAAAUUGAGAUCUAAUUUAGAAAUGAAUGUAUUACCUUUACAGUACAUACUGGCAGUUCUUUAUAUUUCUGCCUUCCCAUGUAAUCUCAUAAUGCUGUCAGCCCUUCUGAUUAAAGACAACAAGAACAGAAUGCAGACUUGUUAACCCUGGACCACUUUCCCAUUGUAUUUGGUCACAGUCUCAACAGAACUGUGAACAUUUGGUCAGUUAUGUUUGGCAUAGCCAUGGCUCCAGCCUUUGCCAAGUGGUAACUUCUUUGAACCUAUACGAUAACCGGUCUUCACUGUUGUUGUUGUUUUAAACAAGUCUACUUUUGAAGAAAGCUGUUUUAGAAAGACAGGAAGAAGAAAUUACAGAUCCAAUGUUAAGUGUAGGACAAUGUGUUUCCUAAGAUAUCCAAUGCCAUGUUAAGUGACUUAACAACAGUGUUGCUCUUCUAUCAUUAGACACAGAAAGCACGUAACUUUUCUCUUGCUCAUUUUGUUUUAUUCAUACAUAUUUUACACUAUAUAUGUGGCAUGCAUUUCUUUUAUGCAGGGCUUAACCAAUGUAUUUUGUUGCCUUUGAUGAAUAUGAAGACAGCACAGAAUCCCUCAGAUGAUAACUGGAAUGGCAGUGUACUGGAACAGAAAUGUAGAUUAAGCCUGUCAGUAGGGUAUGGAGAAAUAGCUCUUUCUCCCAUCAGGCUACUGUCUGAGGCAACCACCCUAUUCUGCCUAAUGAUAGGGCAAACCAUGUCCAAGCAGGUAGCCCUUUUUUUAAAGUCGCCAGAAUGGUACUGAUGAUUGCAGGGACAUAUGGCUGUUAAUUAUUGUUUAUGCUGCAAUUGCUUCCAGUGUGGACAGAUUUAAACAUUGCUUUUCUGAUGUCGUCUUUUUAGGAUGUCGGGGUAAUGCUAUACAGUGGUUAAAAUAAAUAUAGAAUCACACUGCAGUAUUCCACAUCCUUGCAUUGCCCAUUCAUCCUUGCAGAGAGAUUAAAGGGCUUGGUAAAACUAACUUCUUCUAGGUCAGUUUUGGGCAAUCAAGUCUUAACUCUCAGGGACAGGGUAGCUUACUACUGAAUUGAAAAAGGUCAGACUGAAACCUAUUGUAUUUGCAAUGACAAGGAUUUCACAAGAAGGUUAUUUCAUUUCUCUCUCUCUCUCUCUCUCUCUCUCUCUCUCUCUUUGUACACCACAUAGUGGUUUGUCAGUAUGAUUGUUCAAUGCUAUAAAAUGCUGAAGGUCCCAAUUGCUCAAAGAUUAAUGAGGUCAAAACACUGAAUUGGAAUUUGGGAGAAGGCCUUGUCAACCAUGACACCCCAAUGGCAAUGCUUUCCCCCAGAUACAUGACUGGUGCCAACACUUAUAUCAUUUAGCCUCUCUUAAAACAUGUAUGUUCAGCAAAGCCCUUGGGCAUCAUUACUUCAACCCAAUGUCUGUCACAAAUAGUUUUUAAAACAUUAACAUUUUAAAAUCUGCUUUUAAUUAAUUAUAUUGUCAAAUAUGUUUUAGAUUAUUUAUCUUAACUUACUGGUUUUAGCCCGUUUAACCAUUUUAAUACUAUUUGUAAACUACCCUGAUAUCUUUUAAAUAAUUUUGUGCAUGAAACAAAAUAUGUGUUUUUUUAGAUCAUCAGAGAGCAAAGACAUCACUGCCUCAGCCACCCAUGUGGACAAUUUUAAAUUUUGGUUUAUUUGGGAAUUCUGGAUUUUUUUAUUGUGUCAGAAGCGAAUUGAGAAUAUACCGCAAGUUGCUUCUGGUGUGAGAGAAUUGGCUAUCAGCAGACAGGGCCGGCCCUGGGUAAUUUUCAAGUGUAAGUGAACAGAAUUUUGGCGCCCU